GACCGUUCAGUUCCUAACUGUUCGCGACCGUUUGAAACAGUCGUCGUUCUAAACGGUCGGUGAAACAGUCGCUGUCAGAUUUGGCAGCAACAACGAGCGAGAAGAUUUUCGCACGCAAACUAGCCCCCCUACUCUUUCAAGUAGAGCAACAAGGACAGCAGAGUGGGCGUCGAGUCAUAUAUCCAAAACAGCUGUUGUUGACACUCGGCUGCCGGCUGCACGGCUCGGAAAAUGAGGGGGGGUUGGAUGGAAUGUUUAUCAAAGUAUGUUUCACUAAACAAAAUUCAACUUGUGAUAAAUGUUUCUAAUGCUCAAAGUUCAGGUUCAAUGAAACAAUUCAAAAAGUGGCAAUAGUUUAUUGCGCGUAAGCAUCAAAAAUUUAAAAUAAGCAAGCGAGAGUAUCAACUGCGGAUCACAGAAGGCAACCCGAAAAUGUUCGCUUGUCCGCAAAAGUUCGAUGAUUCCAAGCAAGUUUUUCUAGCGAUAUUUGAAUCUAAAAUAAUAAUCAAACCUACGAACUGUGCGAGUAUGGAAACUUCCGUGAAAACCGAACUCAACAGCCCUUGCUGCCCCAAUCAGCAGAUAUCGACAAAUUAUGUCCAGAAAUGGAACAGCCGAACCCGAACCUACAGCUACGGGACGGGGUAAGUUCCGGAAAAACAAAUCGGAUAAUGAAGCCCGUGAUUCGGUGUACCCAACGUUUCUGAUCGCUGAUGAAGUUCCGGUUCGACACUUGAAUAAGCCCGUAUGUGCAUCGAAUUACAAAAAUCGAUAACUUCGUCGUACUUUUUGUUAAUUUCAAACAAAAAUGUAAUAUUGUGAGAAAUUGUGUAUUCUAAGUUUUCAAUAAUAACUCGAGUGAUAAAACUAAA